UACAGAGGUCUCAAGCGUUGUUCGGAUUCAUUGGGCGUAAAGGGUGCGUAGGCGGCGCGGUAAGUCGGGUGUGAAAUCUCGGAGCUUAACUCCGAAACUGCAUUCGAUACUGCCGUGCUUGAGGACUGGAGAGGAGACUGGAAUUUACGGUGUAGCGGUGAAAUGCGUAGAUAUCGUAAGGAAGACCAGUGGCGAAGGCGGGUCUCUGGACAGUUCCUGACGCUGAGGCACA
rnacentral:rRNA from 1 species